rnacentral:rRNA from 1 species
GCAUCAUACUGACACUGAGGUUCGAAAGCGUGGGUAGCAAACAGGAUUAGAUACCCUGGUAGUCCACGCCGUAAACGAUGUUUACUAGUCGUUGGGUCCCUUGAGGACUUAGUGACGCAGCUAACGCAAUAAGUAGACCGCCUGGGGAGUACGGCCGCAAGGUUAAAACUCAAAUGAAUUGACGGGGGCCCGCACAAGCGGUGGAGCAUGUGGUUUAAUUCGAUGCAACGCGAAGAACCUUACCUGGUCUUGACAUAUCUAGAAUCCUGCAGAGAUGCGGGAGUGCCUUCGGGAAUUAGAAUACAGGUGCUGCAUGGCGGUCGUCAGCUCGUGUCGUGAGAUGUUGGGUUAAGUCCCGCAACGAGCGCAACCCUUGUCCUUAGUUACCAGCGG